rnacentral:rRNA from 1 species
CCUACGGGAGGCAGCAGUGAGGAAUAUUGGUCAAUGGCCGGAAGGCUGAACCAGCCAAGCCGCGUGAAGGACGAAGGUGCCAAGCAUUGUAAACUUCUUUUGUCAAGGGACAAAAUCAGGCUCGAGAGCCUGCCCGAGGGCACUUGAAGCCAACGCAUCGGCUAACUCCGUGCCAGCAGCCGCGGUACUCCGGGGGGUGCGAGCGUUAUCCGGUUUUAUUGGGGUUAAGGGGUGCGUAGGCGGACUGUUAAGCCAGCGGUAAAGGCCCGGGGCUCACCCGCGGCGGGCCGUGGAAACUGGCUGGCUUGAGAGGGCGAGAGGUAUGCGGAAUGCGCAGGGUAGCGGGGAAAUGCUGAGAUAUUGGGAAGAACACCGAUGGCGAAGGCAGCAUACCGGCGGGGGUCUGACGCUGAGGCACGAAAGCGUGGGUAUCGAACAGGAUUAGAUACCCGAGUAGUC